CUCCUCUUCGUCAUGCGCACUCCGUGUAUUAUGCUUACGUGGGUUGCCACACAUGGAGUCCCUGCCACAUCAGAUCCAAUACUUGACCACUCUGACGUCACUAUGGCUAUUUAACUUCGGAGGUAUAAAAGCUCUGCCAGAUUGGUUCGGAAACUUCGCUGCUCUUGAAAAACUAUAUUUAUACUUUUUCAAAGAGCUUCGACAUCUACCCUCUGAGGAUGCCAUGAGAAGUCUCACCAAACUAAAACAUCUGGAGGUUGAAGGUUCUCCUCUGUUAAAAGAAAGAUGCACUCCUGAGAGCAGCGGCCCCGACUCCCAGUGGUCCAAAGUUUCUCACAUUCAAUACCUAGGCAUAUUUUGAUUAACCGUCAUCUUCAAAUCAAAUUCAAUCAUGAUUGAUAGAAGAAUAGCUUCACGAACAGAGGUUAGAAUUUUGAAGCUUCUUCACACCAUAACUUUUGGCCUGCAUUUCCUACAAAUGACCUAUCAACGUUUAGAACAACUAGCAGUAAUUGCUCAUUCAAUUGCAAACCCAGUAUCUUGGACAGAAAUGUUUAUGAUGGCCCUCUUUUCUUUCAUAUUGCUGCCUCAAAUAGCCAAAUAUCCUUAUUGUCGAAGCUUGCACACUGUCAAUCUGCCAUUUCAGUCACGAGAAAGUUUUCAGUCUAUGUUUUUGAUUGCUCAAGACUGUCAGCUGGCCAGUACGAGCUGCUC